CCAGACUCCUACGGGAGGCAGCAGUGGGGAAUAUUGGGCAAUGGGCGCAAGCCUGACCUAGCAACGCCGCGUGAAGGAAGAAGGCUUUCGGGUUGUAAACUUCUUUUGACAGGGAAGAGUAGAAGACGGUACCCGUCGAAUAAGCCACGGCUAACUACGUGCCAGCAGCCGCGGUAAUACGUAGGUGGCAAGCGUUAUCCGGAUUUACUGGGUGUAAAGGGCGUGUAGGCGGGAGAGCAAGUCAGACGUGAAAUUCCAGGGCUCAACCCUGGAACUGCGUUUGAAACUGUUCUUCUUGAGUGAUGGAGAGGCAGGCGGAACUCCGUGUGUAGCGGUGAAAUGCGUAGAUAUACGGAGGAACACCAGUGGCGAAGGCGGCCUGCUGGACAUUAACUGACGCUGAGGCGCGAAAGCGUGGGGAGCAAACAGGAUUAGAUACCCUCGUACA
rnacentral:rRNA from 1 species